rnacentral:rRNA from 1 species
AGUGAACGCUGGCGGUAGGCCUAACGCAUGCAGGUCGAACGGCAGCACAGUAAGAGCUUGCUCUUACGGGUGGCGAGUGGCGGACGGGUGAGGAAUACAUCGGAAUCUACUUUUUCGUGGGGGAUAACGUAGGGAAACUUACGCUAAUACCGCAUACGACCUACGGGUGAAAGCAGGGGAUCUUCGGACCUUGCGCGAUUGAAUGAGCCGAUGUCGGAUUAGCUAGUUGGCGGGGUAAAGGCCCACCAAGGCGACGAUCCGUAGCUGGUCUGAGAGGAUGAUCAGCCACACUGGAACUGAGACACGGUCCAGACUCCUACGGGAGGCAGCAGUGGGGAAUAUUGGACAAUGGGCGCAAGCCUGAUCCAGCCAUACCGCGUGGGUGAAGAAGGCCUUCGGGUUGUAAAGCCCUUUUGUUGGGAAAGAAAAGCAGCAGGUUAAUACCCCGCUGUUCUGACGGUACCCAAAGAAUAAGCACCGGCUAACUUCGUG